rnacentral:lncRNA from 1 species
UUAUCGAUAGGAUGAGUCGCUGCGGCAGUCUGCUCGGUCUGCGCGGAAGGCAGGGAGCCUCGCAGAGUUUUAAAGAUGCAGAGCUCCUUUUUCGGAGGCCACGGAAAUUCUCAUCUUUCUAACUAAUUAUGCAAAUACAGGGUAAACUCUUUGCUCCUAUUGUUAUUGGUAUAGUAGAAAUGUCAGAUUCUUCAUGAAGGAAAGGAAAAUUUCAAAAACCUGUACUGGUUCCCUGUAAAAAUUGAGCACUUUGAGGGGAGGGGGAGUUCAUUUUUGUGAAAAGGAAAUGGGGCAUAACAUAAGAAAAUUGCCGGGCAUGGUGGCUCAUGCCUGUAAUCCCAGCACUUUAGGAGGUUGAGGUGGGUGGAUCACCUGAGGUCGGGAGUUCGAGAUCAGCCUGGCCAACAUGAUGAAACCCUGUCUUUACUAAAAAUACAAAAAUUAGCUGGGCGUGGUGGUGGGUGCCUGUAAUCCCAGCUACUCGGGAGGCUGAGGCAGGAGAAUUGCUUGAACCCAGGAGGUGGAGGUUGCAGUGAGCCGAGAUUGAGCCACUGCACUCCAGCCUGGGUGACAGAGUGAGACUCCAUCUCCAAAAAAAAAAAAAAAAAAAAAAAAGAAAAUUAUAUUUAGUUUUCUCAAAAUGUUGCAGAUAAGUGCUGGUAGACUAUGAGAGUUGUGAGUUAACAUUUCCAAAGUUUUAACAAGGAUGAAGAAAUAGACCUUUUGGUGUAUUCACCAAAAGAACCCUUGAGUCCUUUGGAGGGUGUAGUCAGUGUACCAUUCCAUCCAAUCGUUGCAAUCACUUGAGCCCUUCGGAGGGUGUAUUUGGCGUAUCAUUCCAUCCAAUCCUUGCAAUCCCUGACAUUUUCUAACCUGUAAAGAUGAAAAGACUGAGGCCAGAGAGGUUGAGGCAUCUUGCCCAAGGUUGCUCAGUGAUGUAUGACAUCACUGGGACUGGCUCUUUGACAACUUGCUUGUGUUCCAUGUAUUACCCCUGCAUAUCUGCCUCUGCGUUCUCUCUCUCCCCUUCUAAAUUCCUGGUUUAAUCUUGCCAGCUGGUUGCUAGAUGUGACAGAAAUAUGUCGUGAGAGUGGAUCUAUCAUUAUUGUUAUUUGUGGAGUGGCUUUGGCUGAAUUGUAUCUGGAGCACAGUUCAGGAGAUAAUCAGACCUGGGUUCUAGCCCUUACAGGGCCUUUGCAUGCAUGUCCUGCUCUUUUAAUUUCUGAAUUAACUCACAUCUGGCCAGGCCAGUCUAUGCUGGGCAUUCUCACAGCCCUCUCCAAACAAAGCUGUCCUACCCACAGCUCCUGGUGAGAGGAGAGGUUCCAGGUUAUUUCUGACCCACCCCUCCCUACCUCCUGCACCUUCCCCAUCAGUCACAACUUGAUUAUCUAUAGAUUGGUCAGAGACCUUUGGAGUAGGCUGAGACAGAAAGCUCUGACUAAAGAGAGUCAUUAAUGAUUAUCUAGGCCAAACUGAUUCUCUUUCUUGGUAACUGGGACUGAGAAAUAUGAAGAGAAUUAGGCUUGGGAGUGGAGGAGAGAGAAGAAAGCAAUGAAUUAAAUUCCUAAAUUAAAUUCAGGGAGCAAUGAAUUAAAUGCUUCCUGCUACUUUAGGUAGCUCCUGCUAAUAUCCGCCUGAAACACAGAGAGCUGAACUAGAUUCCCUGGAGGGUCAGUCCUGGCAAUCUGCAUUUUAAAUAGGUCUGCCAGCAUUUCUUAUGCACCCUAAAUAAAGCAGCACUGUCCAGUGGAAAUAUAACACAAACCACAAAUGCAAACCACAGAUGUCCUUCCAAACUUUCUAGUAGCCAUAUCAAAAGAUUGAAACAAAAAGAAGUGAAAUUAAUUUUACGACUAUAUUUUAUUUAACUUGAUAUAUCCAAAAUGCAGCAACCCA